AGCUCAGAGGAAGACGACUUGAAGACUGUCUCAGAGGAAGACAGAGAGAAGGCGGCGUCUGCAGCAAGGAAAGGGGCCUCAGAAGAAGCCGACCUGCUGGCACCUUCAUCUUCCACUUCCAGCUUCCAGAACUAUGGGAAAAUGAAUUUCUGUUGAUGACAUCUGUGACUAUGUAUGCAAGACCACAGUGAAAUCAGUUGCAAAAUGAAAAUUGGAAGUCUUCUAAAAGAUGUAGUCUGUGAAGCAAUGAGUCUGACCUUGGAGAAUUGAAUCAUGCACAAAGCCAUGACAGGCAGGAGGAAACAGUCAAUAACAGAGAAAGAAAACUGAGCAGACAGAUUUGGCAGACAUUAGAGGUGACUCAUUCAACGUCUCCCAACCUCAUAUUUCUUGCCUGCCUCUACUUUAGAGGCUAGAAAAGCUAAAAUAACCCCUCUUUCUGUCUUCCCUACAGACAGCAAGAACCAGAUGCUCAGGAUCAAACCUGGUUUUGCCUCUUCCUGAGCAAGUCGCUUAACUCUCUUUCCCUCCAUUUGCUCAUCUGUAAAAUGUACCUGCCUCAUGGAGUUGUUCUGAGGAUUAAAUGAGUUGAUGUAUGUGAAGCCCUGAGAAUAAUUCCUGCAAAUAGCGUGUGCUCAGUAAGUGUGACCAGGAGUCCCAGGAGUGAUCUGGGAGCAGGGUCACACGCAUUCACACCGCUGGUGCAGAUGAGGAGACAUGAUUGACAGUCCCACAGACUGGAAGUUUUGGAGGAGAGGUGUUUCACUGAAGGAAACUCUGGACGUCGGGCUGGCCGAAUCUCUAGAGGUCCACCAGCUGGGCUAAGUUGCCGGGGACAGCCAGGGCGAUUGUCAUAAGUCAUCCACUUACCAAGGGGACGAGGAGAAGGCUUGUAGCUCCUAGACUAUUGAACUCCAGGCAUCACCACAGCAGCCCUGGAAGGCUAGUCCCUGGUGAAACCAGUUUGGAAAGUUCUCCUCUUCUUCCCCCGAUAUUCCUGUUACAUUUCCUUAUGCGUGAUUUUCUCAGCCCUGCAGCGAUUCACACAAAGUUGUGAUAAACACUCCUUUCCCAUCUGUAAUGC
rnacentral:lncRNA from 1 species